CCGGACCGGCGCACGGUGAGUAACGCGUAUGCAACUUACCUAUCAGAGGGGGAUAACCCGGCGAAAGUCGGACUAAUACCGCAUGAAGCAGGGGCCCCGCAUGGGGAUAUUUGCUAAAGAUUCAUCGCUGAUAGAUAGGCAUGCGUUCCAUUAGGCAGUUGGCGGGGUAACGGCCCACCAAACCGACGAUGGAUAGGGGUUCUGAGAGGAAGGUCCCCCACAUUGGUACUGAGACACGGACCAA
rnacentral:rRNA from 1 species